UACGAAGGGGGCUAGCGUUGCUCGGAAUCACUGGCGUAAAGGGUGCGUAGGCGGGUCUUUAAGUCAGGGGUGAAAUCCUGGAGCUCAACUCCAGAACUGCCUUUGAUACUGAGGAUCUUGAGUUCGGGAGAGGUGAGUGGAACUGCGAGUGUAGAGGUGAAAUUCGUAGAUAUUCGCAAGAACACCCGUGGCGAAGGCGGCUCUCUCGGAACGCAACUGACGCUGAGACGCGAAAGCGUGGGGAUCAAACAGG
rnacentral:rRNA from 1 species